UCAAAAUAAUUACAAGUAAUAGUUUAAUAGAGUUUUGAAUGUAACUUAAAAGUUAAAACUUUAAAAUAUAUUUAUGAACUUAUGAAUUUUUGCUGAUUCAUAGCAAGAGGAGAAAUAGGUUAGACCAUCAACGCUUGAAUGAUUUGGUAUACAUUAAGUAUAAUCGAGCCUUGAAGAGAAGAUACAAUGAACGUAACACCAUUGACCCAAUUUCUUUGAAAGAUAUAGAUGAUAGCAAUGCAUAGUUGAUAGGAAGAAUGAAAAAUGAGGAUUCUCAUGGAGGUGCACAAGAAGAUUUUGUAUUUCAUGAUGAUAAUUUGACAUAGGGUGAUGUUGCUAAAGCUACUGGAGCUGAGGAGGCCAGGUUUGAUACUAGAGCUAGAGCUAGAGCUAGAGCUAGAGCAAGCUCAAGCAUAAUACCACCAACGAGGGGAAUAGCUUCAGGUUCUAGAACUUUGCCUUCUCAUUCACUAAUAGAUGAAGAUGGAGACAUGGUUGAUUCAGCCGAUGAAGAAGAUGGGGAAGGCUACGAAUGUGGUGAUGGAAAUGAUGAUGAUUUUGUUGAUUUAGAGGAGGAGUGAUGAUUGCUUGUUGUGGACAAAUUUGUUAUUUAAGUGUUUUUUAAUGAUGUUUUUGAAUUGUGGACAAAUUUCAUGUUUUAGACCUUUUGGUUUGGAAACUUUGGAUUUUGAUAUGUAUUAGGCUAUUAGCAAUAUGGAUUUGGAUUUGUUUUUAUACUUGGAGUUCUUUAUUUUUAUGUUUUUUGUUGAUUAAAUUGAAGUUUUGGAUGAUAUUUGAUAAUUUAUGUGUUUAGGACAAAUAAAUGAUUGUUAAGUUUGAUUAUAUUAUAUAAAAAUAUAUAUGUAAAUUAGGGUGCGCCUUGCACCUUAGGCUUCAGGACUACUUUGCGCCUUGAGCCUUUUAUAACUAUGAUGGGGAGAGACUCCCCAAAAAGCCCAAUCGGGCCUUAUUAAAAGUAGGCCCAAAAGGCCCCAUAGAACUGACGCCCAUGUCUGCCUCCAUUGGGUUGGCUGGAAUUGGGCCUUUGGCCCAUUCCUCUCCACCACUUAUAUCCAAAACACCACUAUCUUUGUGAGCCUCCCGACUUGCUGUCCUAGGCCCAGGCCCACUCACGGAAGAGUCUAGAACACCUGCACUAGCCAGUCUACCCCCUGCCCCUGCUGCAACCCUAUGCCUUCUGCCACACUCAACCUGCGCAUCUGCCCCCCGAUAUUGAUUUCCAAUUUGAACAUCCCCCACGCUACUGCCAGCGCAUGCCUCACCCCACCUUCAUCCCUGACCUCCCAUCCCUCAAAUUUAUGCCAAACAGACCUUGGCACUACCUAAGAAACCCAAGGGGGGGUUUCCCACCACAGACUAACCGCCUAGUAGAAAUUCCCGGCUACUACCUGCAACGAACCAGGCAUAAUCUUCCCAGAGGCUUUCACCAAAAUACGAGCCCACUACAACUGUUAAAAGAAAAUUGUUUCCUCAUCAACAACUAUGAAACCCCCACAACUCUCUCCAAUACUCUUGAACACCUCUCUACUCCAAAGGUGAAGAGGAAGCCCUACAACCUCCACCCAAACUUCCUUGGCUUGUCUCCCAUUCCACAAGCACCCCACUUCAGGUCCCCAUUUCUACAGUAGAAACUCCCUAUCCUUAAUACGUCUGCUGCCCUUUAAAAGCACCGAAUCAGCUUCACAUUUAUUUUCAAAUUCAAACAGCACAAGGGCCACACCUAACUUGGAAAUAUUUAAAUCUCCCUUGAGAGACCAUGUUUCAAACGCCCACUCCUUCAUGGCAACCAAAGGAGGAACGGACUCAAAACUUUCCCCAAAGCAGCCAACCAGGCAACGACUUAACUGCUCUUCCCUACGAGACAAGUCACGGUCCCCUACAUGCACCCAUAAAGAAUCCUUUGUUUCCUCUGUCUUCACUCUCGCAACUUCUACAUGCACUCCUUUCCCUUUCUCUUUCUCUUUGAAACUAUAGCCAUCCUUUUCAGAUAUGGAAGUACCCAAAUCACCUUUGCUCAAAGUUGGAGUGGCAACUCCAAGGGCCCUCAACUUCUAAGCCAAUAGAAACCAUCCCCUUACUAAGCCUUUUCCUUCCGGAAAAACAAUGCAAAACCUUUUAGCUUCCAAAUCUCUCAUUGAACAAAGUAAAAACCUCCCAACUACAUUUGAACGACACUCAAGCCUAAACUUUCUUCCUCCUUCCCAAACUUUUAGACACCUCGAGCUUGACUCUCCUCUACACCAAGCUUCCACAACUUCCAACAGCAAGCUUAAGCUCUUUUCUCCAAAUCUUAUCCAAGAGGAGAAGCCUUUACUCCUUUCCAAAAUAAUCCCUUUCUUUUUACCUCAGACCUCUUCAAUGGAGAUUUCGAACGUCUUGGAUUCAACAGCAAACCAACACUUACCACCUUUCGAGACUCCUCUCCCCUCCGAGAGAGCAGCCAUCUCCUCUUUGCCACAAUAUACUUUAUCAAAUAACCAAACAAGAAUCACCCUACGUAAUACAGGAGAAACUGGGAACCUUCAGCCAUAGUUAUUAAUGUUUGGAGAUAUAUAAUUAGUUUGAAAAUUCUCAUUCCUACAAUAGUAAACGUCAUUUCUGUAAUGUACCCUAGGCUCUCUGAUUCCUUUAAAAUGCAUGUUAGCGCAUUAUCUUGCACCCACCAAUCUCAAGUUUCACUUGAAAGCUUGAGGCCAGAUUUUAUGACAAAGAGCAUUUGUCAUAAGUUGAUUUAUGUGUAAUCUUCUCUAAGAUGCAAUGAAACCUAAGCCUGUCCUGGUGCAGUUAAAAAAAAUUGUUUCUAUUUCAUGGGUUUGGGUGUGGGUGUCAGAUAUAGAUGUGUCUAGGUGUCUAAUCUUUUUUACCUACAAAGUUUAGGAUAUAGAGAUUUGGCUAAAAAGGAUCUCAAUAACGGAUAUGGACAGUUUAAUAUGACAUAAUAAAAAGAAAAACAAAAGUAGAAAUUGAUUAAAAAACAAUGAUGCCUUUGUAAGAAUUCUUUCUUAUUUUAUCUCUAUUUUUUUUAUUAUUCCUAAAUAUUUUUGUGAAAGUUCACUUCUAACAAACUGUUUUUCUUCAAUGUGAUUAUCUGCUGAGGAAGUUGAAAAAAAAAAAAAAAAAAACAA